GAAUCCGCUAAGGAGUGUGUAACAACUCACCUGCCGAAUGAAUUAGCCCUGAAAAUGGAUGGCGCUGAAGCGGGCAGCCGACACCGCGCCGUUCCGGCGAGACGAUGCCGGGAUGAGUAGGAGGGCGUGGCGGUCAGUGACGCAGGCGAGGGUGCAGACCCCGCUGAAACGGCCGCUAGUGCAGAUCUUGGUGGUAGUAGCAAAUAUUCAAGCGAGAUCCUUGAAGGGCGAAGCGGGGAAGGGUUCCACGCAAACAUUGAUUGGGCGUGGGUGAGUCGUUCCUAAGCCGAGUGGCAAUUGCUAAGUAGCGGCGAAAGGGAAGCGGGUUAAAAUUCCCGCACACGGAUAUGGAGGCGGCGACGCAAGCAGAGGCAAAUACGCUGGCGAGGGCGCUGGGCAGAGUUUUCUUUUCUGUUUGACCGGCAUCGCGCUGUGUGGAAUCCGCUUAUCGGGAGAAACACGCGCGGGGAGGGGCAGAGCGUCAGGUCUUUUCUGGCGUCCGGCUCGCCCUCGACGGCCCUUGAAAAUUUGCCCGCGAACACUAAAUUUCAUGCUGUGACGUACCGAUAACCGCAUCAGGUCCCCAAGGUGAACAGCCUCUGCUCAAUAUGAACAAUGCAGGUAAGGGAAGUCGGCA
rnacentral:rRNA from 1 species